UUCAAUAUGAACAUAUAUUAUGUGCUUUGACACUCUGCUACACUUUUGAUUUGUCUGUGUAUGUUCUGUAUUAGGGGAAACAUUAUUUCUAUACAUUGAUGCUUUUUCAGAAGUUUGUAAAUGUUUGAUUACAUUACUUAAAGGACCACUAGAGUGUCCCACUGCCUCCGGACGUUCAAUGUCGUUUUACAGAUUUAAACUCUGUGAGAAUGCAGGAAGUGCCUGUAGUGGCUGUCUAAACCUUGCGAUGUAAACACUGGGGAUCUGCAUGUCCUGGGUCCAUUUAGUGUCACUUUAAAGACUUGUUUAAGGCACAUUGACCACUUCAAUAUGAAACACAGCAAACCAAAAAGUGAACACAUUUUUGUUCUGAACAUAUCGGAACGAGAGUCACAGGCUUGCUUGUGUUCUCUUGGACUCUGCAGUAGCUGGAUGUCUUUCCCGACAUUCUAGAGGUUUGGAGUCAAGUAAAAGGACAACUGUUGCAGAACAGCAUUUUGUCAUGCUUCUGAUGCUCUGAGUAACAUUUUUAACUUGGUGCUCUUAUCUUUUGGCAUAGAGAACACUCAACAUAUGUUGAUUCCAUCGAUUGUAGUGGCUGUUAUGGUGAAAGAAGCAAGUUUGUACUACCCAUUUAAAAUAUUUAAUACAAAACACUUUGCCCUGCAUUUUGUAGUUGAGUAGGAUUUUUUUUCCCCAAGUAAUUUUUGAAGUAGGAUUUUUAAAGAAUAGAGCAUACAGAAUGGAACUUGGUCUUUGAUAAAUUAAAGGAUGGAAAAGGUUAUUCAGCACUUACAGUUGGUCUAUAUAAGCAUGCUGUCAUAUGUAUUAAAG